rnacentral:rRNA from 1 species
AGGGUUUGAUCAUGGCUCAGAACGUACGCUGGCGGCACGCCUAACACAUGCAAGUCGAACGAAGUAGCAAUACUUAGUGGCAGACGGGUGAGUAACAUGUAGGUAUCUACCCUUUGGCCUGGAAUAACACGAGGAAACUUGUGCUAAUACCGGAUAAGUCUUUACGGAGAAAGCUUUAUGCACCAUUGGAUGAGCCUGCACUUGAUUAGUUUGUUGGUGGGGUAAUGGCCUACCAAGACUGUGAUCAAUAGCUGAUUUGAGAGGAUGAUCAGCCACAUUGGGACUGAGACACGGCCCAAACUCCUACGGGAGGCAGCAGUGGGGAAUCUUGCACAAUGGAGGAAACUCUGAUGCAGCGAUGCCGCGUGAGUGAAGAAGGCCCUUGGGUUGUAAAGCUCUUUCGUCGGGGAAGAAAAUGACUGUACCCGAAUAAGAAGGUCCGGCUAACUUCGUGCCAGCCGCCGCGGUAAUAC